UACGGAGGGUGCAAGCGUUAUCCGGAUUCACUGGGUUUAAAGGGUGCGUAGGUGGGAAUGUAAGUCAGUGGUGAAAUCUCCGUGCUUAACAUGGAAACUGCCAUUGAUACUAUGUUUCUUGAAUUUUCUGGAGGUAAGCGGAAUAUGUCAUGUAGCGGUGAAAUGCUUAGAUAUGACAUAGAAUACCAAUUGCGAAGGCAGCUGGCUACGCGAAUAUUGACACUCAGGCACGAAAGCGUGGGGAUCAAACAGG
rnacentral:rRNA from 1 species